GAUGAACGCUGGCGGCGUGCUUAACACAUGCAAGUCGAACGGUGAAGGCGGAGCUUGCCCUGCUGGAUCAGUGGCGAACGGGUGAGUAACACGUGAGCAAUCUGCCCCUGACUCUGGGAUAAGCGCUGGAAACGGCGUCUAAUACUGGAUACGAGCUGCGAAGGCAUCUUCAGCAGCUGGAAAGAAUUUCGGUCAGGGAUGAGCUCGCGGCCUAUCAGCUUGUUGGUGAGGUAAUGGCUCACCAAGGCGUCGACGGGUAGCCGGCCUGAGAGGGUGACCGGCCACACUGGGACUGAGACACGGCCCAGACUCCUACGGGAGGCAGCAGUGGGGAAUAUUGCACAAUGGGCGAAAGCCUGAUGCAGCAACGCCGCGUGAGGGACGACGGCCCUCGGGUUGUAAACCUCUUUUAGCAGGGAAGAAGCGAAAGUGACGGUACCUGCAGAAAAAGCGCCGGCUAACUACGUG
rnacentral:rRNA from 1 species